GAACUAUCUGCCGGAGGAACCAUCAACAUCAUCUGCUACAGCUGCUGGUGAAGGGGAAUCGACAGAAAAUCAUAUCUCAAUAAUGGGUCUUGUCGAUGAGGCGAAAAAGCGUCUGAACGCGGAAAUCACCGAGCAGCAUAAUCGGAAUACGGCAAAUGCGAAAACUUC
rnacentral:sRNA from 1 species